rnacentral:rRNA from 1 species
AUUGAACGCUGGCGGCAGGCCUAACACAUGCAAGUCGAGCGAGCGGCGGACGGGUGAGUAAUGUCUGGGAAACUGCCUGAUGGAGGGGGAUAACUACUGGAAACGGUAGCUAAUACCGCAUACCAUCAGAUGUGCCCAGAUGGGAUUAGCUAGUAGGUGGGGUAAUGGCUCACCUAGGCGACGAUCCCUAGCUGGUCUGAGAGGAUGACCAGCCACACGGGAACUGAGACACGGGCCAGACUCAUGCGGGAGGCAGAAGUGGGGAAGAGUGGACAAUGGGGGCAAGCCGGAUGAAGCCAUGCCGCGUGUAGGAAGAAGGCCUUCGGGUUGUAAAGCACUUGCAGCGGGGAGGCGUUACCCGCAGAAGAAGCACCGGCUAACUCCGUGCCAGAAGCCGCGGUAAUAC